rnacentral:sRNA from 1 species
AACUAGCCCACAGGCUAAGAUCUACAGAUCAGCAAGAUAGAAAGGAACUUACAGAUUAAACUCCUUGUUCUACUCUUUCCCCCCUUUUCACUACUGCACUUGACUAGGCUUAA